UACGUAGGGGUCUAGCGUUGUCCGGAAUCAUUGGGCGUAAAGAGCUCGUAGGCGGUUCGGCAAGUCGGAUGUGAAAUCUCCACGCUCAACGUGGAGGGGCCAUUCGAAACUGCCGUGACUCGAGUCCGGUAGGGGAGAGCGGAAUUCCUGGUGUAGCGGUGAAAUGCGCAGAUAUCAGGAAGAACACCCGUGGCGAAGGCGGCUCUCUGGGACGGUACUGACGCUGAGACGCGAAAGCGUGGGGAGCGAACAGG
rnacentral:rRNA from 1 species